UGGGGAAUAUUGCACAAUGGGCGCAAGCCUGAUGCAGCCAUGCCGCGUGUGUGAAGAAGGCCUUCGGGUUGUAAAGCACUUUCAGCGAGGAGGAAGGUGGUGAACUUAAUACGUUCAUUAAUUGACGUUACUCGCAGAAGAAGCACCGGCUAACUCCGUGCCAGCAGCCGCGGUAAUACGGAGGGUGCAAGCGUUAAUCGGAAUUACUGGGCGUAAAGCGCACGCAGGCGGUUUGUUAAGUCAGAUGUGAAAUCCCCGGGCUCAACCUGGGAACUGCAUUUGAAACUGGCAAGCUAGAGUCUCGUAGAGGGGGGUAGAAUUCCAGGUGUAGCGGUGAAAUGCGUAGAGAUCUGGAGGAAUACCGGUGGCGAAGGCGGCCCCCUGGACGAAGACUGACGCUCAGGUGCGAAAAGCGUGGGGCAGCAAACAGGAUUAGAUACCCUGGUAGUCCACGCUGUAAAACGAUGUCGAUUUGGAGGUUGUGCCCCUUGAGGCGUGGCUUCCGGAGCUAACGCGUUAAAUCGACCGCCUGGGGAGUACGGCCGCAAGGUUAAAACUCAAAUGAAUU
rnacentral:rRNA from 1 species